rnacentral:rRNA from 1 species
AGCACCUACGGGGGCAGCAGUAGGGAAUAUUGCUCAAUGGGGGAAACCCUGAAGCAGCAACGCCGCGUGGAGGAUGAAGGUCUUCGGAUUGUAAAGCUCUGUUCUUGGUGAAGAUAAUGACGGUAGCCAAGGAGAAAGCUCCGGCUAACUACGUGCCAGCAGCCGCGGUAAUACGUAGGGAGCGAGCGUUGUCCGGAUUUACUGGGUGUAAAGGGUGCGCAGGCGGCUCUGCAAGUCAGGCGUGAAAGCUAGGGGCUCAACCCCUAAACUGCGCUUGAAACUGGGGAGCUUGAGUGAAGUAGAGG